rnacentral:rRNA from 1 species
CAGUAGCCGCGGGAAUACGUAGGGUGCGAGCGUUAAUCGGAAUUACUGGGCGUAAAGCGUGCGCAGGCGGUUAUAUAAGACAGAUGUGAAAUCCCCGGGCUCAACCUGGGACCUGCAUUUGUGACUGUAUAGCUAGAGUACGGUAGAGGGGGAUGGAAUUCCGCGUGUAGCAGUGAAAUGCGUAGAUAUGCGGAGGAACACCGAUGGCGAAGGCAAUCCCCUGGACCUGUACUGACGCUCAUGCACGAAAGCGUGGGGAGCAAACAGGAUUAGAUACCCGUGUAGUCCCUGUCUCUUAUAA